rnacentral:tRNA from 6 species
GGGGAUAUAGCUCAGUGGUAGAGCGCUGCUUUUGCACGGCAGAUGUCAGGAGUUCGACUCUCCUUAUCUCCA